rnacentral:rRNA from 1 species
UUAAGCAUAUCAAUAAGCGGAGGAAAAGAAACCAACAGGGAUUGCCCUAGUAACGGCGAGUGAAGCGGCAACAGCUCAAAUUUGAAAUCUGGCUCUUUGGGUCCGAGUUGUAAUUUGUAGAGGAUGCUUCGGCGUUGGACCCGACCUAAGUUCCUUGGAACAGGACGUCACAGAGGGUGAGAAUCCCGUACGUGGCCGGUGUCUCUCGCCAUGUGAAGCUCCUUCGACGAGUCGAGUUGUUUGGGAAUGCAGCUCUAAAUGGGAGGUAAAUUUCUUCUAAAGCUAAAUACUGGCCAGAGACCGAUAGCGCACAAGUAGAGUGAUCGAAAGAUGAAAAGCACUUUGGAAAGAGAGUUAAAAAGUACGUGAAAUUGUUGAAAGGGAAGCGCUUGCAACCAGACCUGCCCGCGGUCGCUCAUCCAGGCUUCUGCCUGGUGCACUCUUCCGUGGUCAGGCCAGCAUCGGUUCGGGCGGUUGGACAAAGACGGCGGGAACGUGGCUCCUCUCGGGGAGUGUUAUAGCCCGCCGUGUAAUGCGACCAGUCCGGACCGAGGUCCGCGCUUCGGCUAGGAUGCUGGCGUAAUGGUUGUAAGCGGCCCGUCUUGAAACACGGACCAAGGAGUCUAACAUCUGUGCGAGUGUUUGGGUGUCAAGCCCGGACGCGUAAUGAAAGUGAACGGAGGCGGGAACCUUUGGGUGCACCGUCGACCGAUCCUGAUGUCUUCGGAUGGAUUUGAGUAAGAGCAUAGCUGUUGGGACCCGAAAGAUGGUGAACUAUGCCUGAAUAGGGUGAAGCCAGAGGAAACUCUGGUGGAGGCUCGCAGCGGUUCUGACGUGCAAAUCGAUCGUCAAAUUUGGGCAUAGGGGCGAAAGACUAAUCGAACUAUCUAGUAGCUGGUUCCUGCCGAAGUUUCCCUCAGGAUAGCAGUAACGUUUUCAGUUUUAUGAGGUAAAGCGAAUGAUUAGAGGCCUGGGGGUUGAAACAACCUUCACCUAUUCUCAAACUUUAAAUAUGUAAGAAGUCCUUGUUACUUAG